GAUGAACGCUGGCGGCGUGCUUAACACAUGCAAGUCGAGCGAGUGAGUUCUUCGGAACGAUCUAGCGGCGGACGGGUGAGUAACACGUGGGCAACCUGCCUCAUAGAGGGGAAUAGCCUCCCGAAAGGGAGAUUAAUACCGCAUAAAAUUAUCGAGCGGCAUCACAUGAUAAUCAAAGGAGUAAUCCGCUAUGAGAUGGGCCCGCGGCGCAUUAGCUAGUUGGUGAGGUAACGGCUCACCAAGGCGACGAUGCGUAGCCGACCUGAGAGGGUGAUCGGCCACAUUGGGACUGAGACACGGCCCAGACUCCUACGGGAGGCAGCAGUGGGGAAUAUUGCACAAUGGGGGAACCCUGAUGCAGCAACGCCGCGUGAGUGAUGAAGGUCUUCGGAUUGUAAAGCUCUGUCUUUGGGGACGAUAAUGACGGUACCCAAGGAGGAAGCCACGGCUAACUACGUGCCAGCCGCCGCGGUAA
rnacentral:rRNA from 1 species